rnacentral:rRNA from 1 species
UUAAGUUAUUAAGGGCGCACGGUGGAUGCCUUGGCACUAGAAGCCGAUGAAGGACGUUACUAACGACGAUAUGCUUUGGGGAGCUGUAAGUAAGCUUUGAUCCAGAGAUUUCCGAAUGGGGAAACCCAGCAUGAGUUAUGUCAUGUUAUCGAUAUGUGAAUACAUAGCAUAUCAGAAGGCACACCCGGAGAACUGAAACAUCUUAGUACCCGGAGGAAGAGAAAGAAAAUUCGAUUCCCUUAGUAGCGGCGAGCGAAACGGGAAGAGCCCAAACCAACAAGCUUGCUUGUUGGGGUUGUAGGACACUCUAUACGGAGUUACAAAGGACGACAUUAGACGAAUCAUCUGGAAAGAUGAAUCAAAGAAGGUAAUAAUCCUGUAGUCGAAAAUGUUGUCUCUCUUGAGUGGAUCCUGAGUACGACGGAGCACGUGAAAUUCCGUCGGAAUCUGGGAGGACCAUCUCCUAAGGCUAAAUACUCUCUAGUGACCGAUAGUGAACCAGUACCGUGAGGGAAAGGUGAAAAGCACCCCGGAAGGGGAGUGAAAUAGAACCUGAAACCGUGUGCUUACAAGUAGUCAGAGCCCGUUAAUGGGUGAUGGCGUGCCUUUUGUAGAAUGAACCGGCGAGUUACGAUUUGAUGCAAGGUUAAGCAGUAAAUGUGGAGCCGUAGCGAAAGCGAGUCUGAAUAGGGCGUUUAGUAUUUGGUCGUAGACCCGAAACCAGGUGAUCUACCCUUGGUCAGGUUGAAGUUCAGGUAACACUGAAUGGAGGACCGAACCGACUUACGUUGAAAAGUGAGCGGAUGAACUGAGGGUAGCGGAGAAAUUCCAAUCGAACCUGGAGAUAGCUGGUUCUCUCCGAAAUAGCUUUAGGGCUAGCCUCAAGUGAUGAUUAUUGGAGGUAGAGCACUGUUUGGACGAGGGGCCCCUCUCGGGUUACCGAAUUCAGACAAACUCCGAAUGCCAAUUAAUUUAACUUGGGAGUCAGAACAUGGGUGAUAAGGUCCGUGUUCGAAAGGGAAACAGCCCAGACCACCAGCUAAGGUCCCAAAAUAUAUGUUAAGUGGAAAAGGAUGUGGCGUUGCCCAGACAACUAGGAUGUUGGCUUAGAAGCAGCCAUCAUUUAAAGAGUGCGUAAUAGCUCACUAGUCGAGUGACACUGCGCCGAAAAUGUACCGGGGCUAAACAUAUUACCGAAGCUGUGGAUUGUCCUUUGGACAAUGGUAGGAGAGCGUUCUAAGGGCGUUGAAGCAUGAUCGUAAGGACAUGUGGAGCGCUUAGAAGUGAGAAUGCCGGUGUGAGUAGCGAAAGACGGGUGAGAAUCCCGUCCACCGAUUGACUAAGGUUUCCAGAGGAAGGCUCGUCCGCUCUGGGUUAGUCGGGUCCUAAGCUGAGGCCGACAGGCGUAGGCGAUGGAUAACAGGUUGAUAUUCCUGUACCACCUAUAAUCGUUUUAAUCGAUGGGGGGACGCAGUAGGAUAGGCGAAGCGUGCGAUUGGAUUGCACGUCUAAGCAGUAAGGCUGAGUAUUAGGCAAAUCCGGUACUCGUUAAGGCUGAGCUGUGAUGGGGAGAAGACAUUGAGUCUUCGAGUCGUUGAUUUCACACUGCCGAGAAAAGCCUCUAGAUAGAAAAUAGGUGCCCGUACCGCAAACCGACACAGGUAGUCAAGAUGAGAAUUCUAAGGUGAGCGAGCGAACUCUCGUUAAGGAACUCGGCAAAAUGACCCCGUAACUUCGGGAGAAGGGGUGCUCUUUAGGGUUAACGCCCAGAAGAGCCGCAGUGAAUAGGCCCAAGCGACUGUUUAUCAAAAACACAGGUCUCUGCUAAACCGUAAGGUGAUGUAUAGGGGCUGACGCCUGCCCGGUGCUGGAAGGUUAAGAGGAGUGGUUAGCUUCUGCGAAGCUACGAAUCGAAGCCCCAGUAAACGGCGGCCGUAACUAUAACGGUCCUAAGGUAGCGAAAUUCCUUGUCGGGUAAGUUCCGACCCGCACGAAAGGCGUAACGAUUUGGGCACUGUCUCAACGAGAGACUCGGUGAAAUCAUAGUACCUGUGAAGAUGCAGGUUACCCGCGACAGGACGGAAAGACCCCGUGGAGCUUUACUGUAGCCUGAUAUUGAAAUUCGGCACAGCUUGUACAGGAUAGGUAGGAGCCUUUGAAACGUGAGCGCUAGCUUACGUGGAGGCGCUGGUGGGAUACUACCCUAGCUGUGUUGGCUUUCUAACCCGCACCACUUAUCGUGGUGGGAGACAGUGUCAAGCGGGCAGUUUGACU